rnacentral:lncRNA from 10 species
GGAAUCCAACAGUCAGUUCUCAGCAUCUUAGGUCUAGCCUCCAAGCAUUAUUUAUAAUGCUAAUGUCAGCACCAUGACCCAAUUGUAUUCCCAUAAUCCCCUUCCAAGAGUGGAAGAAAGAAAACUCCCAAGAAAUAUCUAUCCCUGGGACGUCAAAGGUGUCUGUGGAGCAGUCAUUGUGUUGCUUUGUAAGAAGUGGCCACCUUCAACAUGGGAAGAUGCUCUAUCUGGCCCCGCCUAGGUCUGCCUGUUCCCUCAACACAGCCACUUCCCACUCAGUCUGCUCUACAUCUCUAUGCACACUGUCCAUCUGGCACAAAGAAGGAACACCAGCUGGUACAUAAACUAGCACUGGAGGUAUUUCCAGUAGCCUAUGACCUUUGAAUGGAUCAACCUUUCACAGUCAACUCCUGAUUAUCUGCAAAAGGCUUGCACAUCUCCUUGGCAAAGUUCUGGCACAUAAGUGUUAUUUCAACAAUACAAGAGAAUAAUUCCACAAGUUAAAGGAAUUUUCAUCUUGGCCUACACAAAGUAGUAGGAAGAUAAAUCUGCAGGGAAAAAGGAAUAAUAGAGCCUCCAAUGUCAAAGAAAAAUCUAUUCAUUGUGGAUUAUCUCUUGCUCUCCUCCAUUAAGGCAGAUAAUUGGGGUUACCUGAGUCUCUAACCUUACAACACUGCUGAAAGCUAGGUAUUAGUCUAUUUUUAUAGCUGAUGAAAAUGAGUGUCAGAGGUUAAGCAAUUUGCCUCAGGCCUUACAGCUAGUAGGUGUUGGAAGAGAGGCUCUUCAACCUCACUUACCUUUUGUAAGGCACUCCCCUCCCAAUAAAGCAAACAGCAGAAUGAAAUGAAGGGAAGACACUCCUUCUCUUUAAAAGCAUGAUUAAGAACAGUUAAAAAUUUGGGGCUUAAUUAUCCAGCCUUACACUUUGUCAGCUACCUAUAGUGAAUGUUACAUCUUGUCCUGGCCUUUUCCUUAUACCCAGUAACUUUCAGGCCCCUGUCAAUGGUAUGUGCUCAAUGGCUAAAGAAUAAUAUUAAUAUUAGCCUAAACAACAUUGCAUUGCAAAGACAAAAUCAAACGGGGAAAACAAUAUCAAGAUACAUGAUUCAAGAGCUAAGCACAGUGGUGCACAUCUGUAGUCCCAGCUACUCGGAAGUUUGAGGCAGGAGGAUGACUCGAGCCCAGGAGUUCUAGUCUGAGCAAUAUAGUGAGACUCUGUCUCUAAAAAUAAUAACAAUAAAAAGACAUAUGAUUCAUUCCAAGUCAAAUAAAAAAGACUUCUUAUCUUCAGAUAAGCUUGGAUCUAUCACUUUAUUAAUACCAACAGUAAAAGUUGCCACUAAACAUUGAGUAUGUUAGCUCUAAUUUAGAAAGUAGAAAUUAACAUUUCUAUAUUAAGUUGAGAAAACUAAAACUAAGCAACUUGCUCAAGGCCAUUGGCCUAAUAAGUGCUAGAACCUAGAUUCAAACCUGGGUGUUUCUCACUUAUAAGCCUGCAGCCUUCCUAACUGCACUAACGUCUAUAACUAAGAAAUGUUUGUAUGUGUCGCUCAUCACAUAAUUACUUCUCAGUCCCUCAUAAUUCUUAGAUAAUGGAAAGACACAAGACUGAGAAAUCUGAAUAGAGCCAGUGCCCAGAAAUUGUCACCACUGGAUUUAGUGCCUAAAAUUUCACACUUUCAGUCAGCCAAUGAGAAAACCCAGUUAAAUGCAAGAACAAGCUAGAAUGGAUAGCAUAAUAACCAACUAAGUUGGUGACAAAGUCCUGAGAAACACUCAAGAGAGGUCUCAGUUUACUGGUAAAAAAAGGAGGGCAUUGGACACCCAGGAGAAGUAGAAAAUGGCCUCAGCCUCAACAGCAAACCCAACUGUAGCACCACGGCUUGCCCUGGCUAGAAACACUCCCCAUCUGAUGCAUAGAAAAUGGCUUGUAUAACAUCUUUUAGCAAGGCAAUGGUUAAUGUAGUAUUAGAGCUCAGAGGGCCCAGCUGCUAAUAUACAAAUCUGUUCAGAAGACAUGGCUAGUAUCUACACUGUGUCUUCAAGAAACAAAUGGAGUCAAAAUCCUGAUUCUUCAGCCAAACAUGUUUGCUACAGGUCCCAAAAAGGCAUAUACAUAGAGUGAUCCCAUGCUCACAUACUUUAUUAUCAGCUGAGGUUCUGACCCCAAAUCUUUCCUCCUCUGUUGAGCUGCAUAAACACAACCCCACUAACCUAGUUAAGACUUAGCCUAGAAGCAGGUGAAGUUUUGUAGGCCAGUGGCUCUGCAUUAGUCACCUUGAGGACGUGUUAAAAGUUGGACUGCUGGGCCCCACCCACUGAGAUUUUGAUUCAGUUUGUCUAGAGUGGGACCUGAGAAUUGUUUACAUUUCUCAUAAAUUAUCUGAUGAUGUUGAUGCCACCAGUCUGUGGACCACACAUUGAAAAUGACUGUUAUAGACCUACACUCAAGACUUGUCCCCAGGAUCCUACAGCUACAGAAGCAGGAGGAGGCAAGGCAAGUUCCAAGAAAAUGCACUUCUACACAAGGGCAAGAACAGCUGGCCAACCCUUCCUUUCCCCAGAGCCCUACCUGAAUCCUCCUAGGACUUCCAAAGGCCCAGGGCCACCUUUCAACUGACAGGCUACCUCAGGCCCAUCUCUCAUUGCACCAGAUACACAGGGAAAAAAAGAAAAACAAAAUUGAAAAGACAGUCUGAAGAGCAAAAUAAGUCCCACUUCCCUCCAAAGGGUAGAAAAAAAUGUUAACCCCCUUGCUCCUCCCCCAGAAACUCCACUUCCUAUCAUGAUGACCAAGUUAUUGAUCAUUGCUUUUGUGGAAGAAUAAGGUUAAGCUUAGAUGUGCAAUUAACAAGGUUUAUAGUCACGCGCUUUGCCAGAUGAACAACUCUUUGCAAAAAUAUUUACCAUAAAAUAAAGAAAUUGGCACUUCCAAUAAAAAUAUCACUACAGACAUUUUAUUUGGCCAUCCUAGAGAAACAUCCACAGAAGUGAUCAACACAUAAUAACCUCCCAAUUAUCU